CCUACGGGAGGCAGCAGUGAGGAAUAUUGGUCAAUGGGCGGGAGCCUGAACCAGCCAAGUCGCGUGAGGGAAGACGGUCCUAUGGAUUGUAAACCUCUUUAGGCGGGGAGCAAUGCCGGGCACGCGUGCCCGGAGGGAGAGUACCCGCAGAAUAAGCAUCGGCUAACUCCGUGCCAGCAGCCGCGGUAAUACGGAGGAUGCGAGCGUUAUCCGGAUUUUUUGGGUUUAAAGGGUGCGUAGGCGGAUUUUUAAGUCAGCGGUAAAAUGUCCGGGCUCAACCCGGGCCGGCCGUUGAAACUGGGGAUCUUGAGUGGGCGAGAAGUAUGCGGAAUGCGUGGUGUAGCGGUGAAAUGCAUAGAUAUCACGCAGAACGCCGAUUGCGAAGGCAGCAUACCGGCGCCCGACUGACGCUGAGGCACGAAAGCGUGGGGAUCGAACAGGAUUAGAUACCCCAGUAGUC
rnacentral:rRNA from 1 species